rnacentral:rRNA from 1 species
CACGGAGGGUGCAAGCGUUAUUCGGAAUCACUGGGCGUAAAGAGCGCGUAGGCGGUCUCUUAAGUCAGAUGUGAAAGCCCGGGGCUUAACCCCGGAAGUGCAUUUGAAACUAAGGGGCUUGAGUAUGGGAGAGGGAAGUGGAAUUCCUGGUGUAGCGGUGAAAUGCGUAGAUAUCAGGAGGAACACCGGUGGCGAUGGCGACUUCCUGGACCAAUACUGACGCUGAGGCGCGAAGGCGUGGGGAGCAAACAGG